CCUACGGGAGGCAGCAGUGGGGAAUUUUCCGCAAUGGGCGCAAGCCUGACGGAGCAACGCCGCGUGAGGGAUGAAGGCCUUUGGGCUGUAAACCUCUUUUCUCAAGGAAGAACAUCUGACGGUACUUGAGGAAUAAGCCACGGCUAANUUCGUGCCAGCAGCCGCGGUAAUACGGGAGUGGCGAGCGUUAUCCGGAAUUAUUGGGCGUAAAGCGUCCGCAGGCGGCCGUUUAAGUCUGCUGUUAAAUCGUGGAGCUCAACUCCAUCACGGCAAUGGAAACUGUUCGGCUUGAGUAUGGUAGGGGCAGAGGGAAUUUCCGGUGUAGCGGUGAAAUGCGUAGGUAUCGGGAAGAACACCAGUGGCAAAAGCGCUCUGCUGGGCCAUUACUGAUGCUCAUGGACGAAAGCCAGGGGAGCGAAAGGGAUUAGAUACCCCUGUAGUCCUGGCCGUAAACGAUGAACACUAGAUGUUGGGGGAAUCGACCCCUCCAGUGUCGUAGCUAACGCGUUAAGUGUUCCGCCUGGGGAGUACGCACGCAAGUGUGAAACUCAAAGGAAUUGACGG
rnacentral:rRNA from 1 species